UACGUAGGGUGCGAGCGUUGCCCGGAUUUAUUGGGCGUAAAGGGCGCGCAGGCGGCUACGCACGUCCGUUGUGAAAUCGCUCGGCUCAACUGGGCGGGGGCAGCGGAUACGGCGUAGCUGGAGCAAGCUAGGGGGCAAUGGAAUUCCCGGUGUAGAGGUGAAAUUCGUAGAUAUUGGGAAGAACACCGGUGGCGAAGGCGGCGACCUGGUCCGAUACUGACGCUGAGGCGCGAAAGCGUGGGGAGCAAACAGG
rnacentral:rRNA from 1 species